rnacentral:rRNA from 1 species
CUAAAUGGAACUUACCGAGUUUACACUCCCACACCCAUGUGAACGUUACCAAACUGUUGCCUCGGCGGGAUCUCUGCCCCGGGUGCGUCGCAGCCCCGGACCAAGGCGCCCGCCGGAGGACCAACCAAAACUCUUUUUGUAUACCCCCUCGCGGGUUUUUUUAUAAUCUGAGCCUUCUCGGCGCCUCUCGUAGGCGUUUCGAAAAUGAAUCAAAACUUUCAACAACGGAUCUCUUGGUUCUGGCAUCGAUGAAGAACGCAGCGAAAUGCGAUAAGUAAUGUGAAUUGCAGAAUUCAGUGAAUCAUCGAAUCUUUGAACGCACAUUGCGCCCGCCAGUAUUCUGGCGGGCAUGCCUGUCCGAGCGUCAUUUCAACCCUCGAACCCCUCCGGGGGGUCGGCGUUGGGGAUCGGCCCUGCCUCUUGGCGGCGGCCGUCUCCGAAAUACAGUGGCGGUCUCGCCGCAGCCUCUCCUGCGCAGUAGUUUGCACACUCGCAUCGGGAGCGCGGCGCGUCCACAGCCGUUAAACACCCAACUUCUGAAAUGUUGACCUCGGAUCAGGUAGGAAUACCCGCUGAACUUAAGCAUAUCAAAAAAACGGAGGAA